GAAAAUUAAGCAACUUGCUUCCUUCAUAGCUGAGUUGGGGCACAAUUCAAAUCAUGGACAAAAACUGUAGCUUCACAAGAAGACUCUGAAACAUGAAACAUGGAUUCAAAUAUCAGCUUUGCCACUCACUAGCUGUAAACACAGUCAAGUUUCUUGAGUCCCCAGAAUUUAGCUUCCCUGACUCUGAAGUGGAUAUAAGUAGGCUGAUCUCUCAAGGGCUUUGGGAGGAGUAAGCAGGCUAAUGGCGUACGUAGGACACUAACGUAAUGUAUGAUAACGCAUGUAGGACCAUAAUGUCAGUGUUUACUGUCCCCAUGCCGCAGCUGAACAAAAUCUCACUGAAGCACCGGCUUCCUGAUCCAUCCCAGGAUCUGUGUGUUUUAGCUCUUACAAGGUGCAGUCCAAACAAACUGAGAUGUGGCCAUUCCAUUGACUUCUUGGCCUUCCUGGAGGAGGUAGGCUCCGGUGUGUGAUCUCCUGGUUGCCGUAUCUUUGCUUCAGCUUCUCUCUCCUCUGCUUUGCCAAUCACUGGUCUCUGACUCAGGCUUCUGUCACAGUCUAUGUGGCUUCUGUAACAAAACAUCUUAGACGGGGAAACUUAAAGAGCAAAGAAUGCAUUGUUCAUUCACUGUUCUGGAGGGUGGGAAUUUGAAGACCAAGGUGCUGGCAGAUUUGGUGUCUGGUGAGCGUCCACUCCUUGCUGGAAUAGGUGAUGAAAUGUGGGUGUUCCUCACAUGACUGAAGGGGCCAAGAACGACACUUUCUAAUUACCUCCUUUAUAAGGGCACUUGUCCUGUAAUCAUGACUGAAUCACUUCUCCAUCGGCCCCACCUCCUAAUAUGAUCUCAUUAUGUAUUGGGUUCCAACAUACAUUAGGGAAUGGGAGAGCAUUCAGACCACAGUAGGCCUAUAGGUUCAACUCUUCCUGAAUGUUGGUAUAUCUGUGGCAACACAUUCAUGCUGGCUCUCACUCCUGGGGGAGUAAUCUUGUGGGGUUUUCAAUUCUCUUCCCAUUGCUGGAGAUCUCCCUUCUGGUGAAGGGGUCCUGGUGUGUGGUACUCACCUGCUCCCGGGGGAAGUUAGCAUACCUGCGUUUUGCUGACUCUUAGAAACAAAGGCUGUUUAGCAACCCUCCCACCCCUCCCCUCCCAACUCCUCCCCAGUCCCAUCUCCAACUUCUCUCACCGAAACAGGUAGCUGGUUCUGUGUGUCCACGGUUCCCAAAGUCCAGAACACACCUGUAAAUCUCUCCAGGCGAUUCUCUGGUAUCCACCUACGUAGACUCUGUGCUGUUUCUUGCUGGUCUCUUCUAGAUCUUUAGUUUGAAAAUGAGGCAUAUCGACAUCCUCCAAGCCAAACCCAAGACAGUCUCCACCUCUCCUGGGAGCAUAGGCAGGAGGGAAUAGAAAUAGCCUGCCCAGUCAGGGUCCCAGCAAAAAUUCCAGACUCAGUCAGAUGCAAAUGAAUGUCAGGUUAAAGCAAACAAUAGAUAUCUGGAAAUUACCUGAGAGCGCUCAAAGGCUCUGCCCAAGUGACAGAUCUGCUGCUGCCCCGUGGAAUCCCAGAUGUGUUUCCCUUCCCUGCGCCACAUUUAGCAAUGCAGCACCGAUCCCCACUAAUGUUGCCGUCUACCUCCCUCAGACCUAGUUCUCUCACAUCACCUGAACUAGAGACAAUCCUCAGAACACCCGUUUUAAAGUAAAAAAC
rnacentral:lncRNA from 1 species